UACAGAGGGUGCAAGCGUUAAUCGGAAUUACUGGGCGUAAAGCGCGCGUAGGUGGUUCGUUAAGUUGGAUGUGAAAUCCCCGGGCUCAACCUGGGAACUGCAUCCAAAACUGGCGAACUUGAGUACGAUAGGGGAUAGCGGAAUUCUUGGUGUAGCGGUGAAAUGCGUAGAUAUCAAGAGGAACACCUGCGGCGAAGGCGGGUUGCUGGGCCGACACUGACGCUGAAGCGCGAAAGCCAGGGGAGCGAACGGG
rnacentral:rRNA from 1 species